UCGAUUUUCAAGGGAACGUCUAUUGCAGUGUAGUGCAUAGCAAGUAGGAUGUGCCUAUAUUGUCAAAUUUUUGGGAGAAGUUUAACAUCUAAACUGAACUUUGAGGGACAAAAUAAUUAGAAGAAAAAAAGAAAGGGAGAAAUAAUUAUUUCAACAACAAAAUAUAACAUACAAAACACAACUUAAAUGUGUACUUCCUCUUUUGGUAUCAAAAUCUAACAUACAAAACACAACUUUAAUUUGUACUUCCUCUUUUAGCAUUAAAAUCUAACAUACAAAACACAACUCUAAUUUUGAUAAUUAAUGAUUUAAUUAGUAAAUUUGAUAUUUAAUUAAGAGUCUUCCUUUGAACAAACCCAGUGUUGAAAGGUCAGACUGCAGAUCUAACUAGCAACGAACAGGAAGAGGGCAUAUCCGGCGCUGCUUUUCGACCUAUUCCGGCACCAGAACCACCAUUAUACCCUUCAGAUCCACUGAAAACUCAGCAAAAUAUCCUCUGCAUCACGCGUAUUGAAUCUAAAUCCUCUACCGUUAUCAGUACCACUACAACACUAGUUGGCGAUGCCGAAGCAAAUUGACCAGACUUCAACACAUCCUCACUGUACAAAUCAUAGAUCUGAUGUUUCUGACUAUCAAUACAGGUGUUAGAGAUCCUCAAUAGGAGCAUCGUUGAAGAUCAUUACUUUUCAGCUAUUUGGUGAGUCCUUGUAUUCGGAGGAACUCUUUAUCCUUUUAUCAUUGUUGAGUAUUAUGUUUCUUUUGAGGUAGUGUCAUUGGCACCGUCUGAUAGUGUUAGAGGCUUUAUAGACAUUGUUUGAUGAUGUAAUUGGAGUAGUUCUCCUUUGAAACUACUUCUUCUAAGAAUUAUUUAUUUCAUUUGAUAUUGA